rnacentral:lncRNA from 1 species
UGCAUAUUUUUUCCAUGCCAUAUUUGGUUUAAUGAAAUAUUACAGCUAUUAUAAGUAAAAGAUUAUUUCCUGUGCUAGACAAAUUAAAAAUUAUCAAAUCUUUUUUUGAAAUAUGGAACAGAUAAAAAUCACUAGAAAAAAAUAAGACCAUAAGUUGGACGACACCAACUUAUGAUUGACCGGUAGUUUGAUUGUACAACGUCCAGUGGCAAUUAUUUCUGAAUAUGAAGAGGGAGAACACAUUCAAAAAUAUACGAAAUAAGUUCAAGGUCGACAGUAAUGUAGGGCGAGAAUUUCGACUAAAGGAAAUAAACUGUUUUUUUAAAACAAAAAUACAAAUAAAUUUGAGAAUGGAAAUUGGGAAUGUGCCAAAGGACCGUGAUGUAGGUCGAGAAUUUUUACUGAAGGAAAUAAACCGUUUUAAUAAAAAUACAAAAUAAAAUUGAGAAUAGAAAGGUGAAAAUGUAAAAGAGAAAACAACCCGACCAAAAAGCAGACGACAGCCAAAGGGUCUUCAACGUAGCGACAAAUCCCGAACCCGGAGGUGGUCCUCAUCUGGCCCCUAAAUAAAAUUGUGUACAGCAAAACUUAUUUAUAAAUGAACUAAAAUAAAAUAAAAAAAAACAUACAAGACUAACAAAGGCCAAAGGAUCCAGGAAAAAUGAAAAGAGGGAGUCCAUAAAACAUGACAAAAUAAAAUGCUCGACUACGUAUAACAACAAGAAAACAAAUAGAAAAAAAAACCCUUCAUAUUCCUGACCUGGUGCAGAAGUUUUCUGAGGAAUAAUGUAUGUUUAACUUCCAACUUGUAAGACAGUUGUUUAAAGUUUCGUCAUAUUGACAACAUUGUGUUAGCAACCCGAAUAGAUAUUUCAUAACAUUAAUUAGGAUUCAACAGCCAGGAUUGUACACGUAUGUAUAACAUACAUCACAGAUAAACAACACACCUGACUUUAAUAAAACAAUACAAACUAACAAACAAUGUACACAUCAAUCUGAUAGAAGCG